AGAGUUUGAUCCUGGCUCAGGAUUAACGCUGGCGGUAUGCCUAACACAUGCAAGUCGAACGGAAUACUAAUUAAGAGAAUCUCACACUAGUGAGAGGUUCUCACGAGUAGUAUUUAGUGGCGGACGGGUGAGUAACACGUUGGAACCUGCCCCGAAGUGGGGAAUAACUGCUCGAGAGAGUAGCUAAUACCCCAUAGUAUCCGGUUUGUCCGGAUUAAAGAUUUAUCGCUUUGGGAGGGGCCUGCGUCUGAUUAGCUAGUUGGUGAGGUAAAAGCUCACCAAGGCGACGAUCAGUAGCUGGUUCGAGAGGAUGACCAGCCACACUGGGACUGAGAUACGGCCCAGACUCCUACGGGAGGCAGCAGUGAGGAAUCUUCCACAAUGGGCGCAAGCCUGAUGGAGCAAUACCGCGUGCAGGAAGACGCUUUUCGGAGUGUAAACUGCUUUUGUCGUCGAAGAUUAUGACUGCAGACGAAGAAUAAGGACCGGCUAACUACGUG
rnacentral:rRNA from 1 species